rnacentral:rRNA from 1 species
GUAGGUGGCAAGCGUUGUCCGGAAUUAUUGGGCGUAAAGCGCGCGCAGGCGGUUCUUUAAGUCUGAUGUGAAAGCCCACGGGCUCAACCGUGGAGGGUCAUUGGAAACUGGAGAACUUGAGUACAGAAGAGGAAAGCGGAAUUCCACGUGUAGCGGUGAAAUGCGUAGAGAUGUGGAGGAACACCAGUGGCGAAGGCGGCUUUCUGGUCUGUAACUGACGCUGAGGCGCGAAAGCGUGGGGAGCAAACAGGAUUAGAUACCCUGGUAGUCCACGCCGUAAACGAUGAGUGCUAAGUGUUAGGGGGUUUCCGCCCCUUAGUGCUGCAGCUAACGCAUUAAGCACUCCGCCUGGGGUGUACGGCCGCAAAGGCUG